AGAGUUUGAUCCUGGCUCAGGAUAAACGCUGGCGGUGUACAUAAGACAUGCAAGUCGAACGGGAGAAGACUGGAAGAUUUAUCUACUAGUUGGACACCGUGGCGGACGGGUGAGUAACACGUAAGCAACCUGCCUAUAAGAGGGGAAUAACAGUGAGAAAUUACUGAUAAUACCGCAUAAGCUGGAGGUAUCGCAUGAUACAUUCAGAAAAGAUUUAUCGCUUAUAGAUGGGCUUGCGUCUGAUUAGCUAGUUGGUGAGAUAACAGCUCACCAAGGCGACGAUCAGUAGCCGGAUUGAGAGGUUGAACGGCCACAUUGGGACUGAGACACGGCCCAGACUCCUACGGGAGGCAGCAGUCGGGAAUAUUGCACAAUGGAGGAAACUCUGAUGCAGUGACACCGCGUAUAGGAAGAAGGUCUUAGGAUUGUAAGCUAUUGUCGUGUGAGAAGAAAAUGACCAUCACAGGAGGAAGCCCUGGCUAAAUAUGUGCCAGCAGCCGCGGUAAUACAUAUGGGGCGAGCGUUAUCCGGAUUUAUUGGGUGUAAAGGGUGCGUAGGCGGGAAAAUAAGUCAGUAUGUGAAAUCCCUCGGCUCAACUGAGGAACUGCAACUGAAACUAUUUUUCUUGAGUGUUGAAGGGGAAAGUGGAAUUCCUAGUGUAGCGGUGAAAUGCGUAGAGAUUAGGAGGAACACCAGUGGCGAAGGCGACUUUCUGGGCAACAACUGACGCUGAGGCACGAAAGUGUGGGGAGCAAACAGGAUUAGAUACCCUGGUAGUCCACACC
rnacentral:rRNA from 1 species